UCCGGGAUCGUCCAACGGCAGGACAACGGAUUCUGAAUCCGUUUAUCUUGGUUCGAAUCCAAGUCCCGGAU
rfam:Deltaproteobacteria bacterium RIFCSPLOWO2_02_FTLL_40_36 rifcsplowo2_02_scaffold_209, whole genome shotgun sequence.